UUUGUGCCAUCCCACACUCCCU
rnacentral:piRNA from 1 species